GGUAAACGCUGGCGGCGUGCUUGACACAUGCAAGUCGAACGGUAUGUGGCAACACAUAGAGUGGCGAACGGGUGAGUAACACGUGGGAACGUACCUUCUGCAGGGGGAUAACUGACCGAAAGGACAGCUAAUACCGCAUAAGACCGAGAGGAGAAAGGUGCAACAGCAUCGGCAGAGGAGCGGCCCGCGGACCAUCAGCUAGUUGGUGGGGUAAGAGCCUACCAAGGCAACGACGGAUAGCCGGCGUGAGAGCGUGGCCGGCCACAAGGACACUGAGAUACGGGUCCUACUCCUACGGGAGGCAGCAGUGCGGAAUUUUAGAUAAUGGAGGCAACUCUGAUCUAGCGACGCCGCGUGCAGGAAGAAGGUCUUCGGAUUGUAAACUGCUGUGGUAAGGGAAAAAUGCCAUGUAGAGUGGAAAGCUACAUGGAGGGAUGGUACUUUACUAGAAAGCCCCGGCUAACUACGUGCCAGCAGCCGCGGUAAUACGUAGGGGGCGAGCGUUACCCGGAAUCACUGGGCGUAAAGGGAGCGUAGGUGGCCUGACAUGUCGACUGUGAAAACCCGGAGCUCAACUCCGGACUUGCAGUUGAAACUGCCAGGCUUGAGGACGGUAGAGGAAGACGGAACUGCCAGUGUAGGGGUAAAAUCCUUAGAUAUUGGCAGGAACGCCGGUGACGAAGGUGGUUUUCUGGGCCGGUUCUGACACUGAUGCUCGAAAGCCAGGGGAGCGAACGGGAUUAGAUACCCCGGUAGUCCUGGCCCUAAACGAUGUCCACUAGGUGUGGGGAGCGGAAAGCUUUCCGUGCUAAAGCUAACGCGAUAAGUGAACCGCCUGGGGAGUACGCCCGCAAGGGUGAAACUCAAGGAAUUGACGGGGCCCGCACAAGCGGUGGAGCGUGUGGUUUAAUUCGAUGCUAAGCGAAGGACCUUACCAAGG
rnacentral:rRNA from 1 species